rnacentral:ncRNA from 23 species
GCGUGGGUCGGCCCGCUGCACUGGGUCCAGCGGGCUGGGGGAACACCCGCCGUCCCCAUCCCCGCGGGCGGCGGACCGGUCCGGGAGGCGCAGCGGUGCCUCCCGGACUGCG